rnacentral:lncRNA from 1 species
GUGGGAGGGCAAAUAUUUUUAUGAAUUUAGAUAAUAUAUGAGGAGUAGGUACUUCUAUUUUUGAUAGGAUAGUCAAAAUAUUUGACUUUAUCAAAUAUAGAUGAACCAUAUGUGUGUGCAAGAAGAUAAGUGGGAGUUUCACUAACUUUUUAGUUAUGUAUGUGGGUGACAUAUGUACCAAGCCUGAUAUGAAUGAUGCCUUGUACAUAAUCAUUGAUUUCAGAUUGUAAAUCAGAUUGAUCAAUGAAAGGAUCUUAUGAAAAUUAUGAAAAAGCAUUCUCAUAAUACUUGAGAAGUACUAGAGGGGC